ACUUAAAUAGCUUAUAUUAAGAGCAUAAUAUUGAAGAUAUUAGGGAAAAUGUAUAUUUUUUAAGUA
rnacentral:tRNA from 1 species